GGCACUGAACACAGACUCACCAUGGAGCUGAGGCUCACCUGGUUUUCCUUGUUGCUCUGUUAAAAGGUGUCCAGUGUGAGGUGCAGCUGGUAGAGUCUGGUGGAGGCCUGGUGCAGCCUGGGGGAUCCCUGACGCUCUCCUGUGUGGCCUCUGGAUUCACCUUCAGUAGCUAUGGCAUGCACUGGGUCCGCCAGGCUCCAGGCAAAGGACUGGAGUGGACUGCAGCUAUUAGCCCAAAUAGUGCUAGUAUGUACUACCUAGAAUCUGUGAAGGGCCAAUUCACCAUCUCCAGAGACAACGCCAAGAACACCCUGCACCUGCAAAUGAGCGGUCUGAGAUCUGAGGACACAGCCAUGUAUUACUGUGCAAGAGACACAGUGAGUGAAUCUUACU